ACCACUGAUGAAGGAUUCCUCGAAAAGUUAAGGAUUACUAAUCCUUUUUUUUUAGAAAUCGAAUGGAUUCGUCUUAUACAU
rnacentral:tRNA from 1 species